AUCUGGCUCAGGAUGAACGCUAGCUACAGGCUUAACACAUGCAAGUCGAGGGGCAGCAUUGGAUUAGCCUGCUAUCCAGAUGGCGACCGGCGCACGGGUGCGUAACACGUAUCCAAUCUACCCCAUGGCUCGGGAAUAGCCUUUCGAAAGAAAGAUUAAUGCCCGAUGGUCUGUGAUUGAGACAUCUCGAUUGCAGUAAAGAUUUAUCGGCGAUGGAUGAGGAUGCGUCCGAUUAGGUAGUAGGCGGGGUAACGGCCCACCUAGCCGACGAUCGGUAGGGGUUCUGAGAGGAAGGUCCCCCACAUUGGAACUGAGACACGGUCCAAACUCCUACGGGAGGCAGCAGUGAGGAAUAUUGGUCAAUGGGCGAGAGCCUGAACCAGCCAAGUAGCGGUUAGGAAGGAUGACUCGCCCUAGUGGGUUAGUAAACUUCUUUUGGUUUGGGAAUAAAGUGCCGCACGUGUUGCGGUUUUGUAUGUACCUUACGAAUAAGCAUCGGCUAAUUCCGUGCCAGCCGCAGC
rnacentral:rRNA from 1 species